rnacentral:pre_miRNA from 1 species
CGAAUGCAGUGAAUGCACACAGUGUAUUCCUGGGUAAAUAACAUGUAAUAUGCGAAAUGUGUUAUUGCUUGAGAAUACACGUCGUGCAUUCAUUUUCACUGC